rnacentral:rRNA from 1 species
AGCAGCCGCGGUAAUUCCAGCUCCAAUAGCGUAUAUUAAAGUUGUUGCAGUUAAAAAGCUCGUAGUUGAAUUUCGGGGUCAGUAGGUUGGUCAUGCCACUGGUAUGUACUGGUCUCACUGAUUCCUCCUUCCUGAUGAGCCGUAAUGCCAUUAAUUUGGUGUUGCGAGGAAUCUGGACUGUUACUUUGAAAAAAUUAGAGUGUUUAAAGCAGGCUAACGCUUGAAUACAUUAGCAUGGAAUAAUGAAAUAGGACGUUCGAUCUUAUUUUGUUGGUUUCUAAGAUUGACGUAAUGAUUAAUAGGGAUAGUUGGGGGCAUUAGUAUUCAAUUGUCAGAGGUGAAAUUCUUGGAUUUAUUGAAGACUAACUACUGCGAAAGCAUUUGCCAAGGAUGUUUUCAUUAAUCAAGAACGAAAGUUAGGGGAUCGAAGACGAUCAGAUACCGUCGUAGUCUUAACCAUAAACUAUGUCGACUAGGGAUCGGAUGAUGUUAAUUUUUUAAUGACUCA